AUGUAUAUACCUCACACUUGCAAAUUCGCACAGAGCACACGUCACGGCUCUUUAUUUGCUGAGCACCAACUAGAUGGGGAACAUGCCUCCCAGAAGUGUCUCCUUUCUGUGCCUGAGAUACCUCUCCUGGCUCUUCUCUUUUCCUUUUGGGAAGCUUCUCAGUCUCCUCAGUUGGUGCUGAAGGUAAAGAAUCCGCCCGCCAAUGUGGGAAACAAAAGAGACUCAGGUUCAGUCACUGGGUCAGGAAGAUUCCCCCGAGAAGGAAGUGGCAACCCACUCCAAUAUUCUUGCCUGGACAAUCCCAUGGACAGAGGAGCCUGGCGGGCUACAGUCCAUAGUGUCUCAAAGAGUCGGACACGAUUGAAGCUAUGGAGCACACAUGCACUCAGUCUCCUUUGCAGGCUCCUCUGUUCCUCUGCCCAUAGUAUUGGUGUUCCCUAGUUUCUCUCCUUGACCUUGUCCUCUUACUUGGCACAUCCUUCUCUCCAAGAUUGCAGCUGUCACAUCUGAGCCGACAACCCUUGGGGCUCCAGAAAAUGCACCCACCCACCUUCCAUACACCUCCACCUGGGUGUCCUCCAGCACCUCAACUCAGCAAAUUCAAUGAUCUCUACCCCCUUUCCACAAAUCUGUCCCUCCAACCCCAACGCAUGCCCAGCUAGUGAUGUUGCCAUCCUCCAUCCAGCUGCCCUAGCCAGGACCUGGGAGGCAUCAUUAACUCUGCUCUUCACCCCUCUCCACAGCCUUCCCAAACCAACCAUCACCCCCCAAUCUCCUCUUCUAUCAUCUUUUGCCUGGAAUCUUAUCUCCACAGCAUGUCAGAGAUGUCCAAAAUAUCUCCCAGCUGUUCACCCAACAAAAUCUCUGCACUGCAGCAAAAGCCAUCUUUAUAAGAUACAAAUCUGAUCAUGAUGCUCUGCAGUUUAAAACCUUUCAAGGGCUUCCUUUUAGCCUUAGGAUAAAAAUUAAAAUUGCUUAGAACUUUCCUGGUGGUCCAGCGGUUGACAGUCCACCUGCAAUGCAGGGAACACUGGUUCAAUCUCUGGUCCAGGAAGAUUCCACUUACUUUGGAGCAACUAAGCCAUGCACCAUGGCUGCUGAAGCCCAAGCACCCUAGGGCCAGAGCUCCACAAGAGAAACCACCGCACUGCGAAGCCCGUGCACCGCAACCAGCGUAGCCCCCAUUCACCACAACUAAAGAGAGCCCACGUGCAACAGUGAAGACCCAGCACAGCCAAAAAUAAAUCAUAUUUUAAAAAACUUAAAUUGCUUAAUGGGGCUUGCAAAACUUUUCAUCUGGUCCCAGUAACUUCUCCAGUGACUCUCUCAAAAUCCACUCUGAUACGCCCCCACCUUGCCCCCCACUGAUGGGCGCAUUCCCUCACUUUGGUCCCUAACAGCCUAGAACAGUCUCCCCUCUCCACUCCUCCCCUACUGCCUUCACACUGCUAAUUCCUACUCAACCUUCAGGUCUUCGCUUAAUCACCGCUUCCUCUGGGAAGCCCUUUGGAACUACCCUGGCCCCUUCUGUGAGGUGCCUCUCUGACAAGUCACUUAAGUUCUCUGACCUUAGAUUCCUCAUUAAUAAAAUAAGGAGAGAGCCUUCUCUGGUGGUGCAGUGGUUAGGACUCCCCGCUCCCAGUGCAGGGGGCUCCUGUUUGAUCCCUGGUUGGGGAACUAGAUUUCAUAUGCCACAGCUAAGAGUUUGCAUGCCGCAAAUAAAAGAUUCCUCAUGAUGCAACUAAGACAAGGCACAGCCAUAUAAAUAAAUAUUUUUUAACUAUUAUAAAAAAUAAAAUAAGGACAAUAAUAAUAGAGGUUGUCAUGAGGAUUAAACAAGAAAAUAAACAUAAAGGAUUAGUACAGUGCCUGGCAUGUUGUAAGCACUCAAUAAAUAAUAACUGUUAUUAUUACAUCUUCCACCAAAACCCUGAUACAGUGAGUAGUGGCCUCUUCAGUAGCUCCCACUGGACCAUAAUUUAAGGGAGAACAAUGUCUUGUUCACCUCUGAAUGUCCAGCUCUUAGCACAGUGACUGAUGCAAAGGCAUUUAAUAAACAUUUAUUGAAUAAAUUAAUUCAGGCAAUCAUUAUUUCUUGUAUGGAUUAGCUCUCCUUCAGCCUAAGGAGAAGCUUAAUUACCCCACAAUCAAGCCUCCACCUACUCUCUCAGUAAUUUUUCUACAACUAGAAUGAAUUAUGCCACUUCCCUGCUCAAACCCUGUCGGAGGCUCCUGCUGUCUGUGGAAAACCCUCCUGCCUAGGAUCCCACCCACUGGCUGCACUGAACCCCUAGUUGCUUCCACACCCUCCAGCCUUUCUGCCCCAGCCUCAAAUACCUUUCCAACAUCCUAUGUCCCAAAUGACACGACCUGGGGACCCCAGGGCAAAGCUGGCCUCGGAGGUGUAUAUUGUUUGGCUCACAAAGU
rnacentral:lncRNA from 1 species